GUAAUUAUUAAAGUUUUCAGACGCUGAUUAAAUAUUAAAAAGGUUAUAGAAUUGUCCAACCGGCAGGCAAGCCUGCCGAGGAAACAUGGGUACGCAAAAGACAAGGGUGGAGAAAAGAGGCAAGCUGCUCAUCAGCGAUUAAGCUAUACAGACUAACAGCCUCUUUAACAGUAGUAAACUACUGAGUGUAAUGAUCCUUCCGCAGGUUCACCUACGGAAA
rnacentral:misc_RNA from 1 species